UCCCCCUCAUACACAUUCUACUUUAAAACUGAAGACAGCUUCUACUGUGCUGUAAAGGGCAUAAAUUCUCCUGCAGUGUACGGCCCAAAGAACACCUCAGUGUCAGUCAGUCCCUCUGGUGAAAUAGUGGAGGGCAGUUCAGUGACUCUGACCUGCAGCAGUGAUGCCAACCCACCUGUGGACAAAUACACCUGGUA